rnacentral:rRNA from 1 species
UACAGAGGUCCCGAGCGUUGUUCGGAUUCAUUGGGCGUAAAGGGCGCGUAGGCGGCGGGGUAAGUCGGGUGUGAAAUCUCAGAGCUCAACUCUGAAACUGCACCCGAUACUGCUCUGCUUGAGGACUGGAGAGGAGACUGGAAUUCACGGUGUAGCAGUGAAAUGCGUAGAGAUCGGGAAGAAGGCCGGUGGCGAAGGCGGCUCUCUGGAACGUUCCUGACACUGAGGCACGAAAGCGUGGGGAGCAAACAGG